ncrna:Schistosoma mansoni type-P1 twister ribozyme
AGAAUAACUCCGCCUGUAACUCCUCCGGGAGCUACUGCCGGUCUCAAGCCCGGAUAAAGGAGGAAGGUUGG